UACGAAGGGGCUAGCGUUGUUCGGAAUCACUGGGCGUAAAGCGCAUGCAGGCGGAUCGUUAAGUCGGGGGUGAAAGCCCGAGGCUCAACCUCGGAACUGCCUUCGAUACUGGCGAUCUUGAGUCCGGGAGAGGUGAGUGGAAUUCCUAGUGUAGAGGUGAAAUUCGUAGAUAUUAAGGAAGAACACCAGUGGCGAAGGCGGCUCCAGCUGGUCCGGUACUGACGCUGAGGUGACGAAAGCAUGGGGAGCGAACAGG
rnacentral:rRNA from 1 species